rnacentral:tRNA from 1 species
CUCGGUAUGAGUGGCGGCCGAAGCCGCCGGUGCUGCUUGCGCCGGGGACGAAGGCUCAGCGUCGGGCGUUCCAGGUUCGCCUUGCUGAGC